GAUAGUCCAUCCAAAAAUGAUUACUCACUCUCAUGACGUUCCAAACCUGUAAGACCUUCAUUCAUCUUCGGAACACAAAUUAUGAUUUUUUUGAUUAAUGCAGCUGACACGUUCAAGGCCUAGAAAGGUUAUUUUUUCUACCCAACCGAGUUGAGCCUGUCUCUGACGAAACAACCCAUUGCUGAGUUUGCUGACUUUCUGAGUCCUCUACAGAAGAGAGUGGUUCUCAGCACCAUUGAUUUCCACUUCUUCAGCAAAAUAAAGUUUUUGGAGUCAGUCAUGGCAUCUUUCAGCUAUGAGUGAAACACGAGGCCACGGUCUGAAGUUCACAGUUAACCCCGAACAGCAGCCCUUCUUUGGCUCAGAUUUCGGUGACAUUAGCGCUAUUUCGGUAAAAAGCGAUUACAGAGAACAGUUAAAUACACUAAAAUUAAAAUUCUACUUUUAAAUGUUACAUUUUCAAUGUUUAAAAUGCUUGUUAAAUGAGUUUAAAUGUAUGUAAUAUUGUAAACUAUGCUGUAUUCACCCAAAUACAUUUAAUUUGCCUUGUAUUUUGUCCCUGUGCUCUUGCUUAAUACUAGAUGUUCAUCUUUUGAUUAUCCUCUAGUAAUUCUGUGUGUGCUUUUAUAAGUUCCAGUCUAUUUUAAACCAGCAAUAUAAUAAUUUUUUUUAAACAAUAGUUGACUUAAAUAAAAUAACUCGGCAUGUUUGGUAAAAACAAUUAACCCAACCAGCUGGGUCAAAAUAAUCCCGCAUGUAUUCUGUCCAAUAUUUACCCAGCGCUGGGUUGCCAAAUAACCCAAACUGCGUUGUUUUUAACUUAGCAUGUAGUAAGGACAUUGUUAAAAUAGUCCAUAUGACAUCAGUGGUAAUGUUAUGAAGCUACAAGAGUACUUUUUGUGUGCAAGAAAACAAAAACGACAACUUUUUUCAACAAUUUCUUCUCUAAACGGUGUAUGCAUGUGGUGCUCUUGACAUAGGAGCUGGCGUUCUGACGUAGCAUCAAAAACUGGUGUCGCUUUUGCAAAAAGUACCUUUGCAAAUGAAGUGAAGAUGAACUGGAUGAUUAGCUCACACCAUAUGUGACAUUAUGGCUUUUCAGUUCUUCAGCGUGAACUGGAGGUGAGAAGGAGUUACAUGCUCACAGAAGCUAACUUUCACAUAUGUGACAAAUUUCACAUCUUCUCUGCGUAGUUCACCUGUUACACCUGUGCUUUGUGUUUCCACAAUGAUUUGUAUACAAAUUAUGAGUUGGUACAGCCACUGGCAACUAGCUGCUGGUAGACGCCUGCACAUCUCGCUUCAAAAGAUGAGAGAACAAAAAUGGGUGAGUGGAUAUUUGGCUGGAGACUCUCUCAGCUGGCAAACAAACAUCUUGUAUCAAGUAGGUCUGUCAGCACAGCCAGACCUUCUUGUGAGAAAUAAGUGGUUAGUGCAUAGUGAGAAAAGAAAGGGUGAGAGUUCAAUUUCAGGUAACAUGUGUCUUUUUCCAAGCAAUUGAGAGACUCAACGCAAUGCCAGUCGACGCAAAUGGAAAACAACAAACUCACUGACCGUAUUUCUUUCUGUUUCCUCAGGAAAUCCUACAGGGCCACUUCUGUCUGCUAACUUUAAACAUGUCUGACUGCCAUGUAAAUCCCCAAGGACAAAGCAGACAUGAUGGGAAAUGCCUUAUGAGUAAAAUAGAGACAUUAAAUCAACUGCUGCAGCGAGGUGUAUACUGUAUUGUAUAUUAUGGCUGCAACGAUUCCUCGAUUCUAUUUGAGUAUUCAAUUAUAAAAAAUCCUUGACUCCAUUUUGCCCGUGGCACGUUCCACAUACUAAACCUAUUUAAAAAUCACAAUAAAGCAUAAUGCUAUUAAGAAUUCACAAUCGCUUAGAUUUAAUUAAAUAACUAAAUGCAAUGCAGGUUUAAUAUAUGCGCUUUAAUUAUUCACAUGAGUGUAGGUUAAGUACGUGCAUCUCAGAGUGGCUCCGUUUACAGUAAAUGCUGCCCCACAAACUGUUAUCAUUUACAUGUGUGGAGCAUCUCAAACAUCUCUGCAUAUUGUUAUAAGUUUGGGUUUAUUAUAACGUUCAUCUGGGAACGCAAUGUGCGUUAUUUCACCAGAUUUGUAUGGUAAAUAAUUUAUAAAUGUGCAAACACAAGAGAAUAUUCUUUCUCAAUAUCCUUACUGUUCAUCGCAAUUUCAAAAUAAAAGUUUACACACAUUUUCGUGUCCACAUAUUCAAGAAAUUACAGUGGCUGUAACUUUUCUAUCAUAGAGAAAUGGCCAAAUAUUAAAUAUUAAGUGGACAUUUGAAUUAAAUGUUGUUGGGUCAAUGUUAAAAAUAGAUUAGAUCACGCAGUAAAGUGUAAAAACAAUCGUCAGGCUGUUGGUGCCCUCUGCCGUCAUUUGUUAUAAUGCAUAAUGAACAUUAGCUCUAUUGUUUAUAAUGCAUUAUGUAUUUUUAACAGUUUUGUUCAAUAAAACCACUAUUACUUGCUUUUGAUACUUUAUUUGAACUAACUAUUAUUGCCUCAUUGCUAUUAUAUAUGCAUUUUAAGUCAUUUUAAAAACUAUUGUUCACUUAGGUCAUAAAAAAUAAAUUAUAAUUAUCCAAUUACUUGAU